GGGCCUGUAGUUAAGUGGUAAAACGCUGCAUUCGCAUUGCAGAGGCGCGGGUUCGAUUCCCGCCAGGUCCA
rnacentral:tRNA from 1 species